UUUAAGCACUUAUUUUUAACCUAAAAUGAUUAAAAAUAAAAAUUCAAAAGUCGAAUUCCUAACUUAUGACUUAUGUUUAAAAAUCACUUAAAAUAAGCCUAUCCAAACGGGAACAGAAUUUGUCUGAAGUCGCAAAAGUUGUAAAACUCAUUAACUGAUGCAACAUAUAUGAAAGAAACCUGAUUCACCAUUGUUAAAUUAAAUUGGGUACAAGUUAAUUUUUUUUCAAAAGUAGGUUCAGGUUAAAUAGCAGGGUGCAAAUAGAAAUAGGGUAUGGGGUGAAACUUUUACAUUACGAGAUCAACGCGGUGCCACUGUAAAAGUAACAUAUAUUACAGUGAAGAGUUCGAAAUUUCGAAACAGCUUCUCAGAGAAGGAAGAGAUGGCGGGAAAUGAUUCUUAGAAGCAAUUCCUAACAUCUAAUCCGCGACUUUGCAUCUGAAAAAUCUGAAGGAGAGCGAAGAAUAAUAAAUCUGAAGAAACGAAGUCAAAAGCUUCAAUUGGAGCUUGAAAUUGCAAAUGCUGAGUUCGAAGAGGCAAAACAUCAGAAGGAGUUUGCUGAGCAAGAGCUCAAAGGCUACGAGGUUGAAUUAGCCAGGAAUGAAUCUGCUAUUCAAGCCCUAGAGGAAAGGAUCGCUUUGAUUUAAGAUGAAUUAUCUGCUUAUGGAUCUGAAAUAGAGGCACUUAAGAGAUGGCUUCAUUGAGAAAAUGCUUGAACUCAACGCACAGAUAAGGUACUGUUUGUUGAACAGGUUCUGCAAAAACCAAAGCAGAAGAUGCUGAAGCUGUCAAAACUGACCUCCAGAAUAAGCUGGCUCAGAUAGUUCCCAGUUCACUAAGGAAGAAGAGGAAUACCAAGUAGAACAGAAUAUUCAUAGGCAGGCAAGUUAUUACGCUUUUGUUGAGCCUAACUGCUCUCAUUUCCUUUCUUCUGUUGCUGUAUUGUCUGGUUAUUAGUAUUAGGAGAACUUAGUAUGUUGAGCUGUGUGGUGUUUUUCAGCUUGAAGAGGAGUUGGGUGUUUCGGAGAGGAAAGCAUCACUGAUAGAGAGAAUCACAAAAGAACAUAAGGAAAUGCAGGAGUUAGCCAGAUAUCCUUAAAUCGUUAUUGUUUGGACUCGUCUACAUAUAGCUAAUUAUUUACUAGUUCACCUCAUUGGUGGAAGAGAAUGAAUUUGCAGUGGAUCUCAAAUUUUCAUGACACGUUCCACGUUUGCUGUUACAGUCUCGUAAUCUCCUAUUGUAUUACUGAGAAAACUCUUUCACACCUCAAAAUGACACUUAUGGAAUGAGCACCCAUGCUUUAGAUUUGUCAA